CCUANGGGGGGCAGCAGUGGGGAAUCUUGCACAAUGGGGGAAACCCUGAUGCAGCGACGCCGCGUGAGCGAUGAAGCCCUUCGGGGUGUAAAGCUCUUUCGACAGGAACGAUAAUGACGGUACCUGUGGAAGAAGCUGCGGCUAACUACGUGCCAGCAGCCGCGGUAAUACGUAGGCAGCGAGCGUUGUUCGGAGUUACUGGGCGUAAAGGGUGUGUAGGCGGUUCACUAAGUUCGGCGGGAAAUCUCCCGGCUUAACUGGGAGGGUGCGUUGAAAACUGGUGGGCUUGAGUAUGGGAGAGGUAAGCGGAAUUCCUGGUGUAGCGGUGAAAUGCGUAGAUAUCAGGAGGAACACCUGUGGUGUAGACAGCUUACUGGACCAUCACUGACGCUGAGACACGAAAGCGUGGGUAGCAAACAGGAUUAGAUACCCUANUANUC
rnacentral:rRNA from 1 species